UCUAAAAACUGACCAUGAGAUAGUUAGAAGUACUAUUAAAAUUAAAGUAAAAAUGAAAAUAUGAGCAUGGUAAACAUCUUGAAAAUAACCAAUGCCAUUGUUAUAACUACUUUUCUUAUGAUUGUUCUCUGCACAAUAUAGUAAUACGUUGUAAACACUGAAUAUAUAGUUAUUACAUGAAUGUGAAGGUUGAAAGAACCAUAUAUACCGUUUACGGGGACAUGAGCCUGGUUGUAAGCACCUUUUGCGUAUAGUGAAUUUCAACUGACAAUGCUUUGUAUUACUAACAACCAUAAAACUUGUCAAUGUUUACGUUCCCAUAAUAUAUUCCUACAUUAUGCAGCCAGUACAGUGAAAAAUUGUGAACUUAGCAUACGAGCGUGUUUUUCGACGCACUUUUUAAUUUUAAUUUUUCAACUAUGGCAGUACUAUUAUUUCUGUGAUAUAACUGGGAUGUGAUAUAACUGAUAUAGUGAAAAGCCGUUGUAUGAUCGAACCCCAGCCAGAAAAAUAAUUACUGGGUAAAAAUGAGCGUAACACUAGCCUUACAAAUGGUCUGUUCCAAGGUGUGACACUGAGAAUCGAUUUCUAAGUCUUACGAAACAGAAGGUUAUGUUCCGCUACGGAAUUGAAUACUAAGUGUUUACUAAAUGCAUUAACCGUAAAGACAGGAAAUACAAGGAGGAUUUGGUUGCCGAAACGAUUAUUUUUAAUAAAAAAUGUAUGUAUGUCAUUAAGAAACUAAGAGACGCUUUCCAAAUGCUACAUUGGCUGAAACUUUCUUAAAUCUUUAUCAUCCAUCUAAUUAUAUUGGACCAUGUUAGUUUCAAAACAACAACGAUAUCUGUUUUUGAAAUAAAUAGGCGAAAAUGUCAAAA